rnacentral:lncRNA from 1 species
CAAGGCCGCUCGUAACCGUGAGCACGGCUAGUAUACCAGUUUUAAACACUCUGCAGAGGUUGUACAUCUUUAACCAUGAGUUAUGAUUUACCCUUUCGCCCGAGGUAGCUAAUCUCUUAACUCCCUUCUUAGGGAGGUCAGCAAGGAUUACUAUAAAGUCUUUCAAAGGUUCGUCUAACAAGUUAGGGCCGCUGGGUUUCAUUAGUCAGUUCGUGUGAUCCAUCCGCAGGAAUCCACGGUCUGCUGUCCCCCAAUUGCACCACGUAGGUAACCGCUAACAAGCUAGAAAAGUUACUCAUACUUAACU